GGAGCCGGCCAGACAGUCGCGUCAUCCAUGUUCGCAUGCGAUGCCGAGGAAAGUCCGGGCUCCACAGGGCACGGUGCCAGGUAACGCCUGGGCGGCGCGAGCCGACGGACAGUGCAACAGAAAGAUACCGCCGAUGGCCCGGCAUUCUUCGGAGUGCAGGGCACAGGCAAGGGUGAAAUGGUGCGGUAAGAGCGCACCGCGAGUCCGGCAACGGACCGGCACGGCAAACCCCACCGGGAGCAAGGCCGAAUAGGGACCCCAUGACGCGGCCCGCGUCGGGUCCGGGUAGGCUGCUUGAGCAGUGCGGUGACGCACUACCUAGAGGAAUGACUGUCCCCGACAGAACCCGGCUUAUCGGCCGGCUCCGCCA
rnacentral:RNase_P_RNA from 1 species